rnacentral:lncRNA from 1 species
AAAAUCAAAAUCGAAAAAAUCGAAACCUUAUUGAAACGAUAACGAUAAGCAUAUGUACAAAUCGAUAAUCGAUAAGUAGUUAUCGAUAAGGGUCAAAAUAGAAUCGAUAAAUCGAAUGCACACCCCUAGGCAGAGAUGCUGGAAGAAGGGCUGGCGGCUGGGCUUCUUCUGAAAAUAUACGUCUAUACACACACCCCUUCUCACGUCUUCAUCUUCCUCCUUCAGUGUUGCUACACAUACGAGAACCCACCCCCUCGGUCAGCCUUCUCCAACAUCAGCGGCUAUGUGACCUUCACAACUCUCAACCAGGAAACGACCCCUGUUGUCCAACGUCUUCAGCAGUCCCUCCCUGUCGCAGUCACGACAGCUCACUUCCCUUCACACGUCGUCGUUUCUGCUUCUUCUCGUUCAUAACAGCUCGCCGGAAAAUGAGCUGAAACGACCUCCAAAAUCAACCUAGACAACCUGCUUCUGCCCCGUUCUAACGCAGUCAGCGUUCUGUCCGUUUUCGAGUUUGCCGGCGAGUUUUGAUACUCCGUCUGAGGGCUGGUUUAUGGUCUUGUCCGUCCCUGUUUAUUCAAGUUAUUAAAAAUCAAGUUCUUUUGGAUGAAGAAAAGUUGAAGUUUAAAGAGGUCAGGUUCUAACUUUAAAAGUUGAAUUGUUUUGUUUGAUUCGUUUCCGUCUGCUGCUUGUUUGCGAUUCCUGCUCAGUUUUGCUAUAAAUGUAUAGAUGUGGAACUAUAUAACUGAGUUGCUCAAGAUAUGUAUCCAUUUAGGUAGGAUUUUUAUGCUCGUCGAUUGACUUUUUCACAAAUUGAGUUUAGGAGAAUGUCCAUUUUAAAGUUUUAUUUUUCUAGUUAUAAAUUAAUAUUUAUAUCGUAUCAUUUUAACUAGUGUCAGCCUACUGUCUAAUGUCCAUACAAAUUAUUGUUUUUAAAUGAAAUACUACUACCUACAUAUAUUAAAUAUUUUUUUUGCGAACACUCAGUUUAUAAAGGUGUCGUCGUUUUGUCCUUAGUGUCAUCAAUGUGAAUUGCUAGGAUUGUUCAUUUAUG